UGGGGAAUCUUGGACAAUGGGCGCAAGCCUGAUCCAGCCAUGCCGCGUGAGCGAUGAAGGCCUUAGGGUUGUAAAGCUCUUUCACCGGUGAAGAUAAUGACGGUAGCCGGAGAAGAAGCCCCGGCUAACUCCGUGCCAGCAGCCGCGGUAAUACGGAGGGGGCUAGCGUUGUUCGGAAUUACUGGGCGUAAAGCGCACGUAGGCGGACCAGAAAGUUGGGGGUGAAAUCCCGGGGCUCAACCCCGGAACUGCCUCCAAAACUAUUGGUCUAGAGUUCGAGAGAGGUGAGUGGAAUUCCAAGUGUAGAGGUGAAAUUCGUAGAUAUUUGGAGGAACACCAGUGGCGAAGGCGGCUCACUGGCUCGAUACUGACGCUGAGGUGCGAAAGUGUGGGGAGCAAACAGGAGUUAGAUACCCUGGGUAGUCCACACCGUAAAACGAUGAAUGCCAGUCGUCGGGUAGCAUGCUAUUCGGUGACACACCUAACGGAUUAAGCAUUCC
rnacentral:rRNA from 1 species